rnacentral:rRNA from 2 species
CAACUUUCAGCAACGGAUCUCUUGGCUCUCGCAUCGAUGAAGAACGCAGCGAAAUGCGAUAAGUAAUGUGAAUUGCAGAAUUCAGUGAAUCAUCGAAUCUUUGAACGCACCUUGCGCUCCUUGGUAUUCCGAGGAGCAUGCCUGUUUGAGUGUCAUGU